rnacentral:misc_RNA from 1 species
UGUUGACAAGAAAAGACGGUUAUUUCGCGUUGGAUCCUUGAAAUGGCUCAGUGGUUUAUUUCCUAAACAAAUCGAUGAGCUUCAAUGCAAGGUUCGUCAUGGUCCUGGGUUUUACAACUGCAGCUUGGUCAUGGAAGUUGAUCAACAUGGCCAGGAAGUUGCAGUUGUCCGGUUAUCUGGAGAUGAUCAGGGUUUGGCAGCUGGACAAUUUGCGGCCUUUUACGAUGGAAGGACUUGUAUUGGUUCUGGCAUAAUACUGGAGUCAUGGGAUGAUCAGGGAUAUCCUAUUUGUGAGAGGGCUCUUGAAAUUGCUCGAAUGGAAGAUAAAUCCAAGCUCGGGAAACCUGUCAAGAUAAUGGUAAAACCUGAGCUUAGUGUUACUACAAUCUGAUUAUGACUACCAGACAAAUCCUUAUACUACUAAUUAUAGAAUUAUUUUCAACAUGAGUGCGUUCUGAACAAUGGGAUUUCGCCUGAUUUGAUAACCGUUAAAUUGACUGGGAUAGCUUGAAGAACAGCAGAGUGACAAAGUGUUUUUAGGCUCUAUACUUUGAACUCUCGAAAUUCAUCAGGAGGGAUAGUCUUUACCUUCUCAAGGUAGGGGUUAAGGUUUCCACACACUCCACCCUCCCCAAACCCCUCCAGUGGGAUACAAUGGGUUCGUAGUUAUUAUCAGGAGGGGUAGUGAAGUUUGCACCAGAGACUGGACUGGUUGGUUGGUUGGUUGAUCUUCAGUUAUAGAGUAACUAGUGUCAAUAUGAUGGACCAGUUGCUUCAUGUUAUGUAUUAACACACAACAAUUCUUCUUUGUUGCUCUCAGUGUGUCAGUGAAUUUUGUUGGCUUUGAGAAGAUAUUUGUCCAAUUAUAUCAAUAUCACUUUUAAUCUCAAAUAUAUGAUGUUUA